rnacentral:sRNA from 1 species
GGAAGCAGCCUAGGCUGCUGCGCAGAGGCGCGGCGGCUGGACGGCUGGGCCGUUGUCACCAUGCCGGUCGUCCGGAAGAUUUUCCGUCGCCGCCGGGGCGACUCGGAGUCAGAGGAAGAUGAGCAGGACUCAGAGGAGGUUCGUGCUGUGGCCUUGCUGGUGGGAGAGAAGGUACAAGAGGAGACCACUCUAGUGGAUGAUCCCUUUCAGAUGAAGACAGGGGGUAUGGUGGAUAUGAAGAAACUGAAGGAAAGGGGCAAAGAUAAGAUCAGUGAGGAGGAGGACCUGCACCUGGGGACAUCGUUUUCUGCAGAAACCAAUCGAAGGGAUGAGGAUGCAGACAUGAUGAAGUACAUUGAGACAGAGCUAAAGAAGAGGAAAGGGAUCGUGGAACAUGAGGAACAGAAAGUUAAGCCAAAGAAUGCAGAGGACUGUCUUUAUGAACUUCCAGAAAACAUCCGUGUUUCCUCAGCAAAGA